UACGUAGGGUGCGAGCGUUGUCCGGAAUUAUUGGGCGUAAAGCGUGCGCAGGCGGUUCGUUGUGUCGGCGGUGAAAGCCCCGGGCUUAACCUGGGAAUGGCAUUUGGGACUGCAAGGCUUGAGUGCGGCAGAGGAGACUGGAAUUCCUGGUGUAGCAGUGAAAUGCGUAGAUAUCAGGAGGAAUACCGAUGGCGAAGGCAGGUCUCUGGGCUGACACUGACGCUCAUGCACGAAAGCGUGGGGAGCAAACAGG
rnacentral:rRNA from 1 species